rnacentral:rRNA from 1 species
GAUGAACGCUGGCGGCGUGCCUAACACAUGCAAGUCGAGCGAUCUUCUUCGGAAGAGAGCGGCGGACGGGUGAGUAACGCGUGGGUAACCUGCCCUGUACACACGGAUAACAUACCGAAAGGUAUGCUAAUACGAGAUAAUAUGCUUUUGUCGCAUGGUAGAAGUAUCAAAGCUCCGGCGGUACAGGAUGGACCCGCGUCUGAUUAGCUAGUUGGUAAGGUAACGGCUUACCAAGGCGACGAUCAGUAGCCGACCUGAGAGGGUGAUCGGCCACAUUGGAACUGAGACACGGUCCAAACUCCUACGGGAGGCAGCAGUGGGGAAUAUUGCACAAUGGGCGAAAGCCUGAUGCAGCAACGCCGCGUGAGCGAUGAAGGCCUUCGGGUCGUAAAGCUCUGUCCUCAAGGAAGAUAAUGACGGUACUUGAGG